rnacentral:lncRNA from 1 species
UCAAACCAAUUCAUAAGCAGGUUUGUAUAUGUGACCAGUUGAGCAAAAUCAAAUUACUAAAUCGACAAUUAAACUACAAAAUCGAUAGUUGAAUAAUCCCAAUUUGUUACAAUGAUAGCCACGAGCAAAUAUUACAAUAAUAGCUACUCUACAAAAUAAUCUUUCUAAAUCAGUGUUCCUUCUUCAAAUCAUUACGGUAAAUAGCUACACAAGCAAAUAUGGCCAAUGAAUUUCACUUCAACUCAGGCAAACUUCUAUACCUAGUCAUUGAAAUUUGAAUCUGUUAGCUACAUGAAUAGCUAUGAAACCAAUACACUAUAUAAUUCUGUAAUUAAAGUGCUGCACUGAUUUCUUCAGAGAUGACUCCGACCAACUGGUGGUCAAAUCCAUCCAUCCGCCACAUCUCAAUGCCAUUUUAAGCACAAAUCAUUAGUUAAACAAUAACAGGCUAUAGAAGAUAAUGAACUGAUUAAUGCUGCACUUUAGCAAAUUAAAUUUAAUUUUAUAAUACACAAAACAAAGAUCAACAAAGGAUGAACACCAAGCAGCGUCGAGACCUAAAGCACACUGGAUAUAUAAAGCCAAACAUAAGCAACAUAAAACCAAGUAAAAGCAUUCAAUCCAUACUAGUAGGGCAAACAUCCACACAUCUAGAAGGAAUCAGUAUCAAACGAGCAAACUAAACACAUGAUGGAGUAUGUAAAACAUCAGAUUUGCAUUUAUUGAACCAAACUGGAUGAUUACAGAAUGUAAAACAUACCUAAAUGCAGCAAAAUCAGCUAGACAAAACCAAACAAAAGUCUGAAAUCAAGAGAUGAAUCUCAGCAACUCAGGAACAACAGGAUCAACAGCCACUCGAAAUCCCAGCACAAUUGAAGCAAAGCCAGUAGAAAGAUGGAAGGAAAAACAACUUUGAAUUCUUUUUUUUUCUGUAUUUAAUUUGAAACUCAAGAAAAGAAAAAUCAGUGUGAAAUGAAGAAAGGAAUGUGAAGUUUCUGCAGAGAAUUUUUUGUUAUGUGUGAGUGAAGGAGUGUGUAUAUCAAUGAAUGACCUCAAUUCUGUCCAGAGGAGUGUGUAUAUAUAUGCUAGGUGUUAAAAUAUGAGAGAGGGUCUGUGAGGGGAGGGAAUAUUCAGCGUGAAAUCAGGGGAAAUGAGAGAGGGGAGGGAAUAUCUGUAACUGAAAUCUGCAGUUAAUUCUUUUCUUUACCCCCCCCCCCCCUCUUUCUUCUUUUAUUUUCUACUCCUAAAGCCCCCAAAGUCUAAUUCCUUUUUCAAAACAGCCCCCUUCUAUUCCUUUGUCUCCUUAAUUUACUUUUAACUUCUUUUCUUUUACCCUAACAACCUCAAAGAUUUGGGCCAAUUGACCACCACGCCUUAGCCCAAACUUACUGACUCGAAACCAAUGGGCCUGCCUGUCAAACAAGGCAGGUCCCCAUUCGACCAAGCAAUACCAACUCGAGUGACAGAAACAGAAGAAAAUUUCAAAACGGAAAAACAAUGGCUCUAAACACUAAAUGAAUCAAAAUUAACAAGUAAUUAAAUAACUCUAAACAUGCAAACAUAGAACUAGUUAUUUGUUAAAUCCUAUUAUGCUAACAUGUAAAAAAGAAAAUUAAAAAUGACAACAAGAGAAGAGGGAAAAGAAGAAAGGAAAAAACGAAUGUUACCUGAACAAAGCAAGAAAGCUUUUCCGGUAAUGUUUUAGUCAACCAUCGAAUCCGAAUACUUUCGAAAUGAGCCCAAAGUAACGUCAAUCGAUCGUUCUCGUUCAGAACAAUCGAUUCACGUGAGUUUCAGCUCGAAUCGUGUUCUGGAACUUCAAGAAUUGAAAAGGGUGAAACUAGGUUUUUCUGGGGGUUCUUGGAUCUUGAAUUCGUGGAUUUUGGGAAGGUUACUGGGGAAGUUGGUCAUGGAUUUGAUACGAGGUGAAGCUUGGAAUUGUAGGGUGUUAAUUUGGGAGUGAUUGGGGUAGUGGCCGCCGGUGGAGGAAUUUGGGGCGGCUAGGGUUUUGAGAGGAUUUGGGAGGGAUGAGGAAGAUGAGAGAAUGAGGUCUUUGGGGGGAUUAGGGUUUCGGACAGUUAAAAGGGAUGGGAAAA